AUAUAUUUAUUUGUGUCUGACUCUGUGUGAGUGUGUGUCUACAUUUAAACAUUCAAAGUCAAAAUACAAGAUUGUUUUGGCAAUGUUACAGAUCAAACUUUUCACUAACAUGGACCACUCUCCAAGUCCGCUGCCAUUUUCCAGAUCAUAUUGGAUUACCGUCGAAAGCCGCUGACGCGAUGGUAACGACGUUCUGACCCAUCGACUCUUGUACAAUUUAUGAGAAUAUAUUGUGUUGAUCUUUUUUGGACGUUUAAAUAAAAUUUAUUUCAAG